UCGCGCGUUUGGAGCGGCCGAUGUCGGAUUAGUUAGUUGGUGGGUUAAAGGUUAACCAAGCGGACGAUCCGUAGUUGUUUUGAGAGGACGACCAGCCACACUGGGAUUGAGACACGUCCCAGAUUCUUACGGGAGGCAGCAGUGGGGAAUUUUGGACAAUGGGGGAAACCUUGAUCCAGCAAUCCCGCGUGCAGGAUGAAGCCUUUCGGGUUGUAAACAGCUUUUGUAGGGAAGGAAAAAGCUCGUUUUAAUACCUCGGGCACAUGACGGUACCGUAAGAAUAAGCACCGGCUAAUUACGUGCCAGCAGCCGCGGUAAUACGUAGGGUGCAAGCGUUAUUGGGAAUUAUUGGGCGUAAAGCGUGCGCAGGCGUUUAUGUAAUACAGAUGUGAAUUCCCCGGGUUCAACUUGGGAACUGCAUUUGUAACUGCAGGGCUAGAUUACGUUAGAGGGGGAUGGAAUUCCGCGUGUAGCAGUGAAAUGCGUAGAUUUGCGGAGGAACACCGAUGGGGAAGGCAAUCCCCUGGACAAGUACUGACGUUCAUGCACGAAAGCGUGGGGAGCAAACAGGAUUAGAUACCUUGGUAGUCCACGCCUUAAACGAUGUCAAUUGGUUGUUGGGACCUAGUGGUCUCGGUACCGAAGCUAACGCGUGAAGUGACCGCCUGGGAGUANCNUGU
rnacentral:rRNA from 1 species